rnacentral:rRNA from 1 species
AGCGUACACGGUGGAUGCCCUGGCAGUCAGAGGCGAUGAAGGACGUGCUAAUCUGCGAUAAGCGUCGGUAAGGUGAUAUGAACCGUUAUAACCGGCGAUUUCCGAAUGGGGAAACCCAGUGUGAUUCGUCACACUAUCAUUAACUGAAUCCAUAGGUUAAUGAGGCGAACCGGGGGAACUGAAACAUCUAAGUACCCCGAGGAAAAGAAAUCAACCGAGAUUCCCCCAGUAGCGGCGAGCGAACGGGGAGGAGCCCAGAGCCUGAAUCAGUGUGUGUGUUAGUGGAAGCGUCUGGAAAGGCGCGCGAUACAGGGUGACAGCCCCGUACACAAAAAUGCACAUAUUGUGAGCUCGAUGAGUAGGGCGGGACACGUGGUAUCCUGUCUGAAUAUGGGGGGACCAUCCUCCAAGGCUAAAUACUCCUGACUGACCGAUAGUGAACCAGUACCGUGAGGGAAAGGCGAAAAGAACCCCGGCGAGGGGAGUGAAAAAGAACCUGAAACCGUGUACGUACAAGCAGUGGGAGCACGCUUAGGCGUGUGACUGCGUACCUUUUGUAUAAUGGGUCAGCGACUUAUAUUCUGUAGCAAGGUUAACCGAAUAGGGGAGCCGAAGGGAAACCGAGUCUUAACUGGGCGUUAAGUUGCAGGGUAUAGACCCGAAACCCGGUGAUCUAGCCAUGGGCAGGUUGAAGGUUGGGUAACACUAACUGGAGGACCGAACCGACUAAUGUUGAAAAAUUAGCGGAUGACUUGUGGCUGGGGGUGAAAGGCCAAUCAAACCGGGAGAUAGCUGGUUCUCCCCGAAAGCUAUUUAGGUAGCGCCUCGUGAAUUCAUCUCCGGGGGUAGAGCACUGUUUCGGCAAGGGGGUCAUCCCGACUUACCAACCCGAUGCAAACUGCGAAUACCGGAGAAUGUUAUCACGGGAGACACACGGCGGGUGCUAACGUCCGUCGUGAAGAGGGAAACAACCCAGACCGCCAGCUAAGGUCCCAAAGUCAUGGUUAAGUGGGAAACGAUGUGGGAAGGCCCAGACAGCCAGGAUGUUGGCUUAGAAGCAGCCAUCAUUUAAAGAAAGCGUAAUAGCUCACUGGUCGAGUCGGCCUGCGCGGAAGAUGUAACGGGGCUAAACCAUGCACCGAAGCUGCGGCAGCGACGCUUAUGCGUUGUUGGGUAGGGGAGCGUUCUGUAAGCCUGUGAAGGUGUGCUGUGAGGCAUGCUGGAGGUAUCAGAAGUGCGAAUGCUGACAUAAGUAACGAUAAAGCGGGUGAAAAGCCCGCUCGCCGGAAGACCAAGGGUUCCUGUCCAACGUUAAUCGGGGCAGGGUGAGUCGACCCCUAAGGCGAGGCCGAAAGGCGUAGUCGAUGGGAAACAGGUUAAUAUUCCUGUACUUGGUGUUACUGCGAAGGGGGGACGGAGAAGGCUAUGUUGGCCGGGCGACGGUUGUCCCGGUUUAAGCGUGUAGGCUGGUUUUCCAGGCAAAUCCGGAAAAUCAAGGCUGAGGCGUGAUGACGAGGCACUACGGUGCUGAAGCAACAAAUGCCCUGCUUCCAGGAAAAGCCUCUAAGCAUCAGGUAACAUCAAAUCGUACCCCAAACCGACACAGGUGGUCAGGUAGAGAAUACCAAGGCGCUUGAGAGAACUCGGGUGAAGGAACUAGGCAAAAUGGUGCCGUAACUUCGGGAGAAGGCACGCUGAUAUGUAGGUGAAGUCCCUUGCGGAUGGAGCUGAAAUCAGUCGAAGAUACCAGCUGGCUGCAACUGUUUAUUAAAAACACAGCACUGUGCAAACACGAAAGUGGACGUAUACGGUGUGACGCCUGCCCGGUGCCGGAAGGUUAAUUGAUGGGGUUAGCCGCAAGGCGAAGCUCUUGAUCGAAGCCCCGGUAAACGGCGGCCGUAACUAUAACGGUCCUAAGGUAGCGAAAUUCCUUGUCGGGUAAGUUCCGACCUGCACGAAUGGCGUAAUGAUGGCCAGGCUGUCUCCACCCGAGACUCAGUGAAAUUGAACUCGCUGUGAAGAUGCAGUGUACCCGCGGCAAGACGGAAAGACCCCGUGAACCUUUACUAUAGCUUGACACUGAACAUUGAGCCUUGAUGUGUAGGAUAGGUGGGAGGCUUUGAAGUGUGGACGCCAGUCUGCAUGGAGCCGACCUUGAAAUACCACCCUUUAAUGUUUGAUGUUCUAACGUUGACCCGUAAUCCGGGUUGCGGACAGUGUCUGGUGGGUAGUUUGACUGGGGCGGUCUCCUCCUAAAGAGUAACGGAGGAGCACGAAGGUUGGCUAAUCCUGGUCGGACAUCAGGAGGUUAGUGCAAUGGCAUAAGCCAGCUUGACUGCGAGCGUGACGGCGCGAGCAGGUGCGAAAGCAGGUCAUAGUGAUCCGGUGGUUCUGAAUGGAAGGGCCAUCGCUCAACGGAUAAAAGGUACUCCGGGGAUAACAGGCUGAUACCGCCCAAGAGUUCAUAUCGACGGCGGUGUUUGGCACCUCGAUGUCGGCUCAUCACAUCCUGGGGCUGAAGUAGGUCCCAAGGGUAUGGCUGUUCGCCAUUUAAAGUGGUACGCGAGCUGGGUUUAGAACGUCGUGAGACAGUUCGGUCCCUAUCUGCCGUGGGCGCUGGAGAACUGAGGGGGGCUGCUCCUAGUACGAGAGGACCGGAGUGGACGCAUCACUGGUGUUCGGGUUGUCAUGCCAAUGGCACUGCCCGGUAGCUAAAUGCGGAAGAGAUAAGUGCUGAAAGCAUCUAAGCACGAAACUUGCCCCGAGAUGAGUUCU